CCAGCAGCCGCGGUAAUUCCAGCUCCAAUAGCGUAUAUUAAAGUUGUUGCAGUUAAAAAGCUCGUAGUUGAAUUUCGGAGGAGAGUUCCCGGUCUAGGUUUUCCUUGUACUGGGACACUCGAAUCUUUUUUCUGGGGAAACUUGGUGUCAUUAACUUGGCGGCAAGGGGAACCAGGACGAUUACCUUGAGAAAAAUAGAGUGUUCAAAGCAGGCUUUUGCUUGAAUACGUUAGCAUGGAAUAAUAAAAUAGGACUUUGGUCUUAUUUUGUUGGUUUUAAGGACCAAUGUCAUGAUGAAUAGGGACAGUUGGGGGCAUUCGUAUUCCGAAGCUAGAGGUGAAAUUCUUGGAUUUUCGGAAGACG
rnacentral:rRNA from 1 species